rnacentral:rRNA from 1 species
UACGAAGGGGGCUAGCGUUGCUCGGAAUCACUGGGCGUAAAGCGCACGUAGGCGGGUCGUUAAGUCAGGGGGUGAAAUCCCGGAGCUCAACUCCGGAACUGCCUUUGAUACUGGCGAUCUUGAGUUCGAGAGAGGUGAGUGGAACUGCGAGUGUAGAGGUGAAAUUCGUAGAUAUUCGCAAGAACACCAGUGGCGAAGGCGGCUCACUGGCUCGGAUACUGACGCUGAGGUGCGAAAGCGUGGGGAGCAAACAGG